CAAUAGCGUAUAUUAAAGUUGUUGCAGUUAAAAAGCUCGUAGUUGGAUUUGUGGUUCGUCCCGCCGGCUGGGUCAUUGACCUUUGCUGUGCUGGUCGUCCAUCCUUGGGUGGAAUCUGUGUGGCAUUAGGUUGUCGCACAGGGGAUGCCCAUCGUUUACUGUGAAAAAAUUAGAGUGUUCAAAGCAGGCUUAUGCCGUUGAAUAUAUUAGCAUGGAAUAAUGAUAUAGGACCUUGGUACUAUUUUGUUGGUUUGCGCACUGAGGUAAUGAUUAAUAGGGACAGUUGGGGGUAUUCGUAUUCCAUUGUAAGAGGUGAAAUUCUUGGAUUUUUGGAAGACGAACUACUGCGAAAGCAUUUACCAAGGAUGUUUUCAUUAA
rnacentral:rRNA from 1 species